GUCUGACAUUGAGUGCCUGGAGCCCUCCCUAGCUCUCCAGCUGGAACCUUCCUCUGUAGGAAGGCUGAGGCUAGCAGGGAGAAGCCAGGAUGGAUUUUAAAGAGCCUUGUUGUCUCUAAGGAAGAGUGGAGCUUACAUCUUUGGGUUUGCAGAAAUGCCCACAUUCAACUCAGGGGGAAUAAAAGGAUGGGAGUUAGAAUUUCAACUUGCAGUUGCAGAAUCUCAGAGUUAAAAGAAACCUCAGAGGUCAUCUCUUCCAACCCUUCUCCAGAGCAGCUUUAAUUGCCUGUGUGGGAGAUUCAGGGCCAGCAGCUGCAGCUUCCCUUUCCCUGCCUCUGACUUGCCAGAAUCCUGUUACACCUGGGAUUUAGGCACUUUCAAUCUGAAAAAAUACAUAUCCUUUCAGCACUCUGGACGGACUUGAGAACUGUCCUUACGUGACCUAAAGCUGGAGUAUUUUGAGAUUGGAGAAUUAAGAAGGACAGAAUAACGGGCUCCCAGAUUCACAAGCCCCACCAAGAGGAUCACCCCAGGAACGCUUGGAGGCUGAGGAGUUCACUGAGGCUACUGCAUCUUGAGACUCAGGAUGAAGACCCAGCUUGGGGCUGUCAAAGGUUUUUUGCAUGUCUGACACCCAUGACUCCACCUGGACCUUAUGGCUCCACCCAGAAGCAAUUCAGCCCAACAGGAGGACAGCUUCAACCCAUUACGAUUUCAUCUCUGCCCCAACCACUCAGCAGCAAGCACCUGUUACCUGUCCACCCCCACCCCUUCCCCCAAACUGCCUUUGAAAAAUCCCUAACCUAUGAGCUUUGAAUAAGAUGAGUACGAACUUCAUCGCCCACGUGGCGUGGCCGGCCUCGUGUCUAUUAAAUUCUUUUUCUACUACAA
rnacentral:lncRNA from 1 species